rnacentral:rRNA from 1 species
ACGGUAGAGCCCGGCCUACUGUGGUGAUAACGGGUAGCGGGGAAUAAGGGUUCUAUACCGGAGAGGGAGCAUGAGAAACGGCUACCACAUCCAAGGAAGGCAGCAGGCACGCAAAUUACCCACUCCCGGCACGGGGAGGUAGUGACGAUCAAUAACGAUGCGGGACUCUGACGAGGCUCCAUAAUCGGAAUGGGCGUAGUUUAAAUCCUUCGACGAGGAUCAAGUGGAGGGCAAGUCUGGUGCCAGCAGCCGCGGUAAUUCCAGCUCCACUAGCGUAUAUUAAAGUUGCUGCAGUUAAAAAGCUCGUAGUCGGAUCUCGGGAUCGUGUCGGCUGGUUCGUGGUUUCUCCUGCGGUUCCGCCGUUGGGAGUUUCCGUGGGCCGUCGGCCCUGCCGGCUAGGUCCCCGCCUGAUGGCGGGGUUCCACCUGGCUUGUGCAGCCCGCCGUCGCGUUUGGGUGGGUGUCCUUGAUUGGAUGCCCGCUCUCGAACGUGGCUCGUUUACCUUGAACAAAUCGGAGUGCUCAAAGCAGGCUCUACGUCGCUCGAACGGUAGCGCAUGGAAUAAUGGAAGAGGACCGGCUUCCGCUUCUGUUGGUCUCACGGAGGCAGGUAAUGAUCAAGAGGGACGGACGGGGGCGGAGGUAUGGCUCGGCGAGAGGUGAAAUUCUUGGACCCUAGCCAGACCCUCGAGAGCGAAAGCAUCCGCCAAGGAUGUUUCCAUUGAUCAAGAACGAAAGUCGCGGGAUCGAACGGGAUUAGAUACCCCGGUAGUCGCGACCGUAAACGAUGCCAACCGGGAAUUUGGCGGCGUUACUUCCAUGACCCGUCAAGCGCCCGACCCGGGAAACCGAGAGUCUUUGGGUUCCGGGGGGAGUAUGGUUGCAAAGCUGAAACUUAAAGGAAUUGACGGAAGGGCACCACCAGGAGUGGAGCCUGCGGCUUAAUUUG